CCACCUUCAAACUGCCUGGCAGCAGCA
rnacentral:piRNA from 1 species